rnacentral:rRNA from 1 species
CAGUGAUAAACUGGAGGAAGGUGGGGAUGACGUCAAGUCAUCAUGGCCCUUACGACCAGGGCUACACACGUGCUACAAUGGCGCAUACAAAGAGAAGCGACCUCGCGAGAGCAAGCGGACCUCAUAAAGUGCGUCGUAGUCCGGAUUGGAGUCUGCAACUCGACUCCAUGAAGUCGGAAUCGCUAGUAAUCGUGGAUCAGAAUGCCACGGUGAAUACGUUCCCGGGCCUUGUACACACCGCCCGUCACACCAUGGGAGUGGGUUGCAAAAGAAG